UACAGAGGUCCCGAGCGUUGUUCGGAUUCAUUGGGCGUAAAGGGUGCGUAGGCGGCAUAGCAAGUCGGGUGUGAAAUCCCGGGGCUCAACCCCGGAACUGCACUCGAUACUGCCGUGCUUGAGUGUUGGAGAGGAGACGUGGAAUUUACGGUGUAGCAGUGAAAUGCGUAGAUAUCGUAAGGAAGACCGGUGGCGAAGGCUAGUCUCUGGACAACUACUGACGCUGAGGCACGAAGGCCAGGGGAGCAAACGGG
rnacentral:rRNA from 1 species